AGUAGCUGCUGCAUUUCCCACCCUAGUCUACUCGAGUCUAAGUUUUUAUUUUUUUUUCUCCAGUUUUUUUGGAUAAAAUUAGGGGUCCCGACUUAUACUCCAGUAUAUAAGGCUGGUACAAACAAACUCUUCCUAUUGCCUGCAUGGGAUUGGGAAUGCAAAGCACCUUGGGCAUAUUUUGUGGACCCUGCACUAACAUCCCUGUUAGGGUUUGAAUGAUUAUCGGUGCCACCAGUUUAUUAGAGCCGAUUAUUCUUCAUAUCUUUGUUGAUUGACAUGUCUUGCAAUUUUCCAAUAACAUCUGAUCUCCCACAUCCAGAAACUCUAGGUAAGGGGUCACAACCUCAGGUCACCCCUCUCUGAGUCCCCACAUGCAGAUAUCAGCUGAAGGCAGGGAGAUGCGAUGGUGAAUAAUCUCCUGGGCUGGCUGACCGUGACAGGAGUGACUGUCAGCGCGUUCGGUUAAUGCCAGAUUUGUGUAGAAAUUGUUCUUUGAAAACCUUUAAAUAUUAUCAAUCCGGUCUGGAAAAAUCUGACUCCCUGGGGCUAGGCUUUGUUGGCUCUGAUUAUUUUGACCCCAUAGUGGGUGGAGUUUAUCCCAAAUUUCUGUUGAGGCAGGGUGAUUCUUAUUAGCAAAAGCCUUGUUAUACAGUAAUUCUGUUGGGGUUAAUAGAGUUCAUUACACAGAGCAGUGUUAGUAUCACCUCCCGCUUGGAGAUUUCUGGUUUAUUGGAGCAAAUAAGACUGAACUUUUAUUUCUUU